rnacentral:ncRNA from 1 species
CCGGUUGAUCCUGCCUGCUUGUCUCAAAGAUUAAGCCAUGCAUGUCUAAGUACACACGAAUUAAAAGUGAAACUGCAAAAGGCUCAUUAUAUCAGUUAUGGUUCCUUAGAUCGUUAACAGUUACUUGGAUAACUGUGGUAAUUCUAGAGCUAAUAUAUUCAAUAUAAACAUGGACCAAUGGAACGUGUGCUUUUAUUAGGCUAAAACCAAGCGACCUUUUUGAUCGUAUAUGGGUUUAACUCUAGACAACUUGCAGAUCGUAUGAUCUUGUACCGACGACAGAUCUUUCAAAUGUCUGCCCUAUCAACUUUUGAUGGCAGUAUUUAGGACUACCAACGGGUAACGGGUAGCCUGAGAAAUGGCUACCACAUCUAAGGAAGGCAGCAGGCGCGUAAAUUACCCACUCCCAGCUCGGGGAGGUAGUGACGAAAAAUUACAAUACAGUACUCAUAUGCGAGGCCCUGUAAUUGGAAUGAGUACACUUUAAAUCCUUUAACAAGGUCUUAUUGGAGGGCAAGUCUGGUGCCAGCAGCCGCGGUAACUCCAGCUCCAAUAGCGUAUAUUAAAGUUCUUGCGGUUACAACGUUCGUAGUUGAACUUGUGCUUCAUACGGGUAGUACAACUAUAAUUGUAGUUUGUGCUAUACCUUAUGUAUGUAAGCGUAUUACCGGUGGAGUUCUUAAAUGUAAUUGUAAUACUUGUACUCUUUGCAUAUUUCUCCUAUUUAAACCUGCUUCAAUGCUCUUCAUCGAGUGUUGUCGUGGGCCGAUACAAUUGCUUUGAACAAGUAAGAAUGCUUAAAGCAGGUUCCAAAUGCUUGAAUAUUUUGUGCAUAUUUUGAAUCGUUUUCUUUAUUUGGGGAAAAAUGAAUAAUGACCAUCGUCAAAGCUUCUG